UUAAUUAUCAUUGGGUCUUGUUCAUGAAUAAGGGAAAGAUGGAGUGUGAGAUCUGUAGUGAUACAGGCGUUGUACCGGUCUGUUAUGGUGAAGAGAGAAGUGAGUCGGAAGGUGAAGCGCUUGAUUUACUCAUCGAUCUAUGGUUCAACACUCAUCUAGGGUUACGAGUUUGGGUAGUUAUCCAAAAAAUGAGAUUGCAAAUACAAGCAGCCAAAAUUUGUUUUCUCUGCAGGGUGGCUGGGCUCUCAGAGAUAGGGUGAGAACAUAGACUGUAAAUACUGGACAAACGGAUUCCAUUGGCUUCAAUAACACGUUUGUUGUCUAUAAUGGGAGGUGGCCACCACCGCCAUUUUGACCGUGUCACAGGUUCCGUCCAGCCCAGACAACUCCAUAAAAGGGAAGAGAGGAGGCGCUGAGGGUGUGGCUGUAAGGCUGGGCUCGAGUGACGACACCCAGGCGAACUAGCUACGAGCUAACCUGAAGCUAACCCUGGCUAACCCAAAGCUAAAGCGGAGGUGGGAGCCGAGCUAACGGAUGUAGCCACCUAGCUUCAACCCAACCGGAGCUAACUGGAACACCCAUCGACCUGAACCUCACACGGAGUUUAGGUGGAGGUUUUCUGCGCCUGUUCGUGAGAAGUACCUGUAUUAAAAAAGUUUUAAAUCGAUCUAUUAAAAGGUCACCAUGGCAGCCUGUGUGUCAACGUCAGCUACACAAAGCAGCAAGUGUAAGUACCAAGUACUUGUCUUGACCACUUCAUGAAUGGUUUUGUACUUUAAACAGCUAGGCCAAACCUGUUAUUUUUUCCUCCAUAGCCAUUUGGAUCAUUGGAGACAGCUGAGUGAGGCGUGGUGCCCAGAGAGCUGCAGAGACGACCUUGGCCUCCCUGACGUCUGUGUCUCUUGGUUUGGUUGGGGCGGACCAUCGACAUACAUACAUGUGCCGACACUUUGCGCCCUGUUUUAUAAACUGUAGUGUUAAAAAUAAAUGUUUUUGCUCAA